rnacentral:lncRNA from 1 species
GCAUUGUGUGGUGCCCAUCCAGUGUCAUUUUAUGCAGUUGUCUUGGUGACUGUAUUCAAGUAGCUAUAAUGGCAGCCUAGCUACAAGCAAGAAGCCAGUGCUCUCUGAAGGAGAUGGCAUGAAAGACGGGAACAGCUCUUGCUCUUUCCUCAGGAAAAGCACACCAGGGUGUGGAGACAAAAGGACUCCAUUUUGGAUGCUGAUCUGCCAUGUUGAGUUCUGAUUAGCCCCAG